GUUGGUUAGCAAGUCGAACGUUGUCAGCAGUAUAGAAGCGCCUCAAGCGUUAAAUCUGGUGAAAGUCUCUUGUUCUACCCACUGCACUUCGGGUAUUACCCGGUUUUAAUUAGCUACAUUGAGGAACUCAAUCAUGGCAACUGGCACAGUUAAGUGGUUCAACGACACUAAAGGUUUCGGCUUCAUUUCUCCUGACGACAAUGGCGACGACCUGUUCGCACAUUUCUCUGAAAUUCAGUCUGAAGGCUUCAAAUCUCUGCAAGACGGCCAGAAGGUUUCCUUCGACGUCACCCAGGGUAAGAAAGGCCUUCAGGCUUCUAACAUCAAAGUAAUCUAAGUUAAUUCUUAGACUUUAAGAUGUUAGCAAUCAUCGCCUAGCGCUGAUUGACCAGAAAACCCCGCCUAGUGCGGGGUUUUUUGU
rnacentral:other from 1 species